rnacentral:rRNA from 1 species
CUACCAUGCAGUCGACGGAAGGCCCUGCUUUUGUGGGGUGCUCGAGUGGCGAACGGGUGAGUAACACGUGAGUAACCUGCCCUUGACUUUGGGAUAACUUCAGGAAACUGGGGCUAAUACCGGAUAGGAGCUCCUGCUGCAUGGUGGGGGUUGGAAAGUUUCGGCGGUUGGGGAUGGACUCGCGGCUUAUCAGCUUGUUGGUGGGGUAGUGGCUUACCAAGGCUUUGACGGGUAGCCGGCCUGAGAGGGUGACCGGCCACAUUGGGACUGAGAUACGGCCCAGACUCCUACGGGAGGCAGCAGUGGGGAAUAUUGCACAAUGGGCGGAAGCCUGAUGCAGCAACGCCGCGUGCGGGAUGACGGCCUUCGGGUUGUAAACCGCUUUCGCCUGUGACGAAGCGUGAGUGACGGUAAUGGGUAAAGAAGCACCGGCUAACUACGUGCCAGC